UGGAAACUUUCCGGGCUCCUCGGGGCUGGGAGGGGGUGAACAGAAAUCAGGCGCGCGAGGAAAACCCUCACCAGGACGUGUCGUCUGCUUUCAGAGCAGCCACAGUGGGAAAAGGGUGUUCCCAAUACGCCGACCCUCUCUCGGUGACCCCACCUGAAAAGUCCCUGCUCCUCUAGGGAGACAGUUGUUGCAGGGUUCCCUUAGUUAGGCAGUGGCAACGCAGAAGGCAGCGAAACAGGCACAAAGUGCCCCCCCCAACACCUCAGCUUCUCAGGGGGACAGCUUUGUCCCUGCCCCAAAGGCAAUAGGGCUAGGAAUGGGGGCUCAGAACCUGCACCCAGUGUUGGAGCAAGUGUCUGUGGCUCGGGCCACAAACACCCGGGGGUGCCUUGCGGAUUCCGAAUCGGGCCUUUCAGCUUCCUCAUUGAAGUCUUGGCACCUUUGAAGUGGAAUUAGGGCAGGAAAAAAAAAAAAGUAAGGUUUUUGUGCAGAGUUUAUUACCUGUGGAUUAAAAUGCUUGGUAGGCAGAAGUUUCAACAAGGCUCAGUUUUAUAAUUUGUUUUGAGAUAGUUUUUGUUGAGUUAAUUUUUGUUUGAAGUGAUUGAAAGGUGACUCUCAACUUUAGUGAGUUUGUGUUUGGUUGAAGUGGGGGCUAACUUUUAAAGUUGUUUUUCCACUCUUAUUCUGGUUAUUUUUCAGUAUCCCCAGAGUUAAUUCCGUAGGCAUGUUCUUUAUCUUGAUUUUUAUCAUCAAAAAAGGGUCAAAAGAAUAAUGUUUAGUCACAUUCCCUACCAAAGAAGUACUAUAGCUAGCCUUCCUUUUCCUUUGUAAUUCGUGCAGAGCCUCUUGGAAACUAGGUUGGGCCCCAAAUUGGCAUUUUUGAUUUGUGAUUAAUUUUUUUUUUUUGGAGGGUGGACCUCAUGGAAGUUUUUUGCUUUACAUCGUGUUAGGUCUUUAUUAUAUAUGUAGCUAUUGGUUUCAUGGUAGAUGUGAGAGAAAGCAAGAAACCUGAAAAGUAUCUAGUAGAAUCUGGGUGAAGUUUUGUAAGUUCUGAAGAGUAUGUAGUAGUGACAAAAUACUUGACUGACGUGGGGUUGGCUUGUUUUCAGAUUUUAAAUAGGUUAAUGUAAGAAAGAAGCUAUGAAAUUUUUAAUAUUUGAGCAUCUUUAUAAAACAGAAGUGGAAAAAAUGGAAAGCAAAACAAUUUUCCUGUGUAUCAUUUUUUCCUCUUAGUUUGAAAUCAACUUUCUUAAUUUGGCCCAAAGUUGAAGCUAUAGUUAAAGACAGUUGUUAACUAUUUAGGGUAAUUACAGAUCAUUAAUUGAUUUACUUUAAUAACACUUUUCUUCAGUGAUAGGUUUUGUAGGAUGUAUUUUGCUGGGUAUAUUGACCUCUUGAGAUUAGGUACCAUUAAAUUUUCCAUAGUCACAAUUUCUCUUCAUUACUUGUGUCUAAGUAUUUUUAGCCUCUGAACAUUGUGGAGGCUCUUAAAUUUAAACUGCAAAAAGGCUAAAAUGUAGUCACUGAUUGUUAACAUUUUAGGAUAAAGUAUAGUAUUAAAUGCUAAUAUAGAAUGAAGACAUUUUAGGGCAGAUAAUUCUCUAAUCAUAAAUAAGAAAGAACUCAUAAUAAAUUGUUGACAUCUUCUUGAUGUAUCUACCACAAAUAGUUGAGUAAAAGUAACCUCUAAAGGUUUCAAAAGUUUUAAUGAGAGAGAAACUUUGUUACAACAUAGUUCUGUAAUGUGGGAAACAAACAAACAAACAAAAAAACCUGUUGAAUCUAGAGUAGAGCCAGCCUAAGUAAGAAAUGGUGAAAUUUGAGAUCUUUGAAUUGUGAGCUAUGCCUUCACUGGGGGCUUUUAAACAGUGGCAAUACAUGUGUAGAAAGAUCAGUUAUUUAAUUUGUACAUGUAAGCGCCCUAACAUGCUUGCUUGGUUGGCAGAGUCUCUGGCUAUUUUUCAUUCCAUGCUUUUCUAUGAGGGAGACCCUAGGGAGUUAUCAAAAAAAAAAAAAAAAAAAAUGGGAGGAAGUUUGUGAUGAGGUGGAAAACUCUAAGCAUAGCUAUGGGGAAAAUGUGUGUUGGCUUUAGUAGUAAGGAGGGUAAAAGGUGGAGUUUAGGCUCAAGAUUUACUUGUAGAUUCUCUAGCAUUUUCUACUUUAUUGUAUAAUCAAUAUUUUAGCCGAUAUAUAGUUACUGCAUGAAUGACAUCAAAUCCUGGCAGGGAUGGGCGAACUCAUCCAAAAUCCUUGAAACCUUGAUGAAGGCUUUAUCAAAUAUGCUGUUUUGUAUUUUCUAGCUGUUCCUAACUACUGAGCACUUAGAGCCAACUUACACAUUCCACAGAAUUAACUAAAUGGUUUCCAUUUUAAGAGAAAUACUUAUUUCAAUACCACAAAUAGCACCACUCCUUUGAGCAAAACAAUAACUCUGGUACCUUAAAAAUAUGCUUUUAGUAGGGGAAAUACAACUUACAUUGACUGUCAGUGAUCUUACUAUGAGUAUUUUUGGCCCACUUUACAUUUCUGUAUUUGUGCUGUCUUUGACAGAUCAGUCCAGCACUAAAGACUAUGGGGAAAAUUAAUAAAACGAGCAAUGCCUGUUGAUCCUUUUUCUUCCAUAGACCUGUAUCUGCAUGAAUUCGGGCCCACAAGAGGUCUUAGAGUAUAACCCCACACAGCCCUUUACUGAUUCUGAGAGCAGACAAUAGAGACAGGAGUCAGCUCUGGCAUUAGCAAAGCGGACUUCAUGUUCUAUAUAGCAAAUCAAGCCCUGGGCUCUUUUAGCCCUAUCCAACUCAGCCCCACUUCCUUCCCCAGGGUGUAACAACUGGAUUAAAAGACUUAGAUCCAAAUGGGAAAAUUAGUGUCAUUUGUAUAUAGGCAGUAGCCGUAUUCAAAGUGCUUUCAAACUAAUUGGGGGGAAAAAUCAAGACAUAGUGUGAUUUAAUUUUAAGUCCUUCAGGGUGGGAAGUGUGUAGGAGUCUGUGGCUUAAGAAUACCUUUAGUUUUUCCAUUUAUUUUGAGUUGUUUACAGUUUGCAUUUGUAUACUCUCUCUCUCUCUCUCUCUCUCUCUCUCUCUCUCUCUCUCUCUCUCUGUGUGUGUGUGUGUGUGUGUGUGUGUGAUUUACUUCAUAUUAUACAAUUUGGAAGAUGGGAAAACUAUAGUAAAGUUGUAAAUUUUAGUUUUCAAGUUGGUGUAAGUUUUCUUCUGUUGAGGUAAUUCUGUGAUGAAUUGUCUUCUUUAUGUUUUAAGUUGGUGUUCUUUGGAAAUAAUUCUGAUUCUGAGCCAGGAUAGCAGCAAAGGAGAGGGAAAAAAAAAAAAAAACCCACUGUGUCUAAAAGCCAGUCUAACCUGCACUUGAUAUCUUUAAUCAUCUCUGUUAAUUUCAGAUGGACUUUGGCCAUGUUAAUACAUUGAAUGUGUAUUGAGUAACUUAGAGAGUUCAGCCCUGAAAGUCACGCUUCAGAACUUGUGGGCUGGGUGACUUUUUUCUAACUGAUUUAAAUGUGACAGUAUCUAGUCAAGACCAAUAUUGCUACACAUCUAAGUUGCAAACUGUUUAGAAUCUAGGGUUUUAGUGCAGGCCCUGGACUGAUAACCAGGAAGUCAAACUAAUGAGAUCUACUACCUAACAAAGUCUGAGAUUGUUAAACUAUAUAUAGUGCACACUUCCUUUCAUAAAGUCACUAUUGAAUCACCUGUGGAUUUUGUUAGCUUUUUCUUCACUUACGCCUAGCCAUUUAGUGAUUAUCUCAACUCCAUUAACUUAAUUUUUUUGUGAGUUUUAAAUAAAAACAGUGAAUUUGCUUUGCACCACAAAUCCCUGGGUCCGAUCCCCAGCACUGAAAUAAAACAAAACCAGAUUAAAAAUAAGACCCAGUAGCAGUGGGUGGAUGGAAGUCUGAGUUCUUCCUCUCUACACUGCGACUGGAGUCUUUUAAACUAGGAUUCCUGUAGUUUUAGACCAGAACUUUCACAUUCUUGCUGAUUGUCCUGUUGCCUGGUGUUUCCGAUCCUGUGCUGUGCUGUGCUGUAACUCAAAAUGGUUUUUCUUUCUUUAUGGAUAGUGUGUGGAGCUUAACUAAACUUUUAAAAAAGAAGUAAACCCCAGUUUUCAGCCUGACAAGUAAUUCCAAAGCAACACUUUGUACGUAGCCCCCAGUGACAGAUUAAAGCCACUAGCCCUGCUGUUAUUUUUUGUCUUUUGAGUUGGGAUUUGGGUGAUGUUUUAGGUGCAGCAUGAGUAUGCAAAGAAAAGGUUUGGAUUGUAUUCCAAAGUAAAAUUAUACCUAGAUUGAUGUAUGAUGACUGACUUCUAAUUACUCUUAAGUAUUAAGUACUUAAAAUUAUAUAACAUUUUAACUCUGGAGACAAAUUUCUAGUUUUAUAUAAAAAAUUUCACUUAAGUCCUCUUAAUCUUAUUAAAUAUUAAGUCAUAUUUUCCUAAAGACGUUUUCUUUCAGUCAUUUAUCAUUUCCAACUAGCAGUAACUGAAAAUAUUUUGAAGAAAAUAAAAUGAGAAAAUUUUAAAAUAAAGAUCAAUUGGGUUAAUUUUUAAAGAACUAAGUCUUUCAUUUUUUUCUGUGUUUGUGUGUUUUCAAGUUCUGAAGUAAUGACACAGGAUGAAUUUGAAAGAGCCACUUUCCUUUACAAAUAAAUAUAUUUGAUAAUUGUUCAAAGUUGAUAUCCAGAAUUUCCUGUUUUGUUUAACACUUGAUAAAAACAAAUAAAAAUGGAAACCCGAGUCUCAGGGAAGAAACAAAUUCAUUUAAAAACCAGCGUUUGUAUUUGAUGAAUUCAUUUUACCAAGCAGAAGUGCUAGUAGUCCUUCGUUUUUGUUUUUGUUUUUUUUUUUUUUUAAUUUUCUAAGUUAGAAGCAAUAAGAAAUCUGUGUAUUUGGAAAACUGUUCCGAUGACAGGCCUUAGCACUAAUUAGCUAAGCUAAAAAUAAUUCAUGCUGGAAAUAUUAAAAUGUAAAUACAAUCUAAGUCAUUAUUAUUCACUUGUAAUUAAGAACCCAUCUCCAAAUAUUAACUAAUGCUCACACAGAAUUGCUUUCUUAACUAGCCAGGGAAUCAACUUGAUCCAAAACUUUUUGUCAACAUCCAAUAAAAUAUGUAUCUCACCUGUCUUAGUUGCCAAAGCAGUACUGACUGCAGCAGUUACCUGCAUCUAUGAUUAUUGUCUGUGUGCUGUGCUUGUCUUACUAUGGGAGACCAUCUCCACAGCACUGGUGAUCUAGCUGCAAUGAUUGUUUCUGUGUUAUGGACUAGAAAACUGGCCCGACAAGAUUAAAGAUGCCAGCAAUCUCCUAAAUGGUGCAGCCUCCUCUUUUGACCCAGUGUGUUUCCUAUCCUAUCUCUGUUUCAGAUUUUCUAUAUAUCAUGAUAUUUAAGCAGAUGAUUUGCGAAGCUUUUUAAAAAAUGGUUUGAGAAUCAGUAUAGUGUGCGUAUUCUUUUCCUUCUUGACUAGAAGAACUGGCUCAAGCUCAUGUCCAUGUCUGUCAAGAUGCAGGAGAUAGACAUAGGUAUUUGUUUAUAUGACCAAAAAAAGGUGAGGCAUUAUGUUAGGGAACCAAAUCUACUGUUUUAAAUGGAUUGUAAAUUUUCUCUUGGAAACUUUUCAUGGAGAUUAUUCCAUGAAAAACAUAUGGAAACAUUUCCCCCUGAACCUCAACAAGUGAAUAAAAAGAUAGCUUUUUUUUUUAACUUUGAAAGUUCUAAUGUGUGUAUGGAUUAUAGUGUACUGGUGAGAUGGUUCAGCAUAUAGAGACGCCUACUGCUGCCAAGCCAAGCCUGGUGUUCUCAGUGCUGUCCCAGAACCGGAGUGGGGGCGGGGAGGAGAGAACUGACUCCCACAAGUUGUCCUCAGACUGUCACAGGGGAGUCAUGGAAUAUGUGUAUCACACACACACACACACACACACACACACACACACACACACACCUACCUACCUUCAGGUCCUACAGAGUUGGAUUUAAGGUUCUUACCAUUUCUUCCCACUGGUAUCUAUCCAAGACGGAACAGUGGUUGUACAAUUAGUUUGUAUUUUGUGGUUGUUUAAAGAUUUUAUACAAGAGCGAAGACCCCUUUCCCAGCUAAUGUUUUUUGUGUCUGAAACUUGGUGUGGGAGGGACAUGGUUAAACAACAGAAACCUCUGACUGGUGAACAGAGCUUGCAGGCUAAAUAAAAACACUGAUUACAGUGCAGCGGGGAGCUUUAAUAUAUAUGAAUAUUAAUAUUUGCAUGGAGUGAGAGAUCAAAAUCAAUUUGAGGUCAAAACAAAAAAGUUAAAGGAAAGAUUAGAGAAUUUAAAUUAAAAACUGAAUGUAGAGUACGUCUCAUAAUUAUAAGUGAAAUUUAGACAGCAAAAAUACUUAGAGCUUUAGGGUUUUUCAUUUGAGUACCUGUUGGUUACUCACUAGAUCGUAGUGGAUAUAUUUCAGGAAAUUGAUGUCUCUGUGAGAGUUUGAAAGCAGGGUUUUAUGGAAAAAGCACCCUAAGGACAACCAAACCAAACACAAAAGACAAUUUUAUACUGGUUUGCAAAUGGGAAACCGUUAUUUCUUUUUGUGUUUGCCUAUGGAAAUUAGGGGCUACACAGAAAUUUAUAGCUCUGGAAGAAAACACUAGAACAGGCAAUAUUAUUAUCAGAAAUUGAAUUCCCAGAGCACAUGGCAUUCUAGAAAAUGACACUAGAAAAUGGCACAGUCGUAUAUGAGAAUGAAAAGGAAGUCCGCAAAUUCUGUCAUUAGCUACCAGGAUUGCUCAGGCUGAGCAGCAGUCCACUUAAGAAGGUUGCUGGGGAUGGGACAGUCUUAGCACAGAGCUAAUGUUGCUUCACAUCUCCCCUUAGAGAUUCCAAGCAGAAGGUAGGGACUAUACACAGACAUCAGACUCUGACCCUUGGAUUCCAGUCCCAGCUCAGUACCUAGAGUCCAUGUGUGUUAACUGUGUGUGUUAACUGCCUUGCCUUCCCUACUUGUGAAGUGAGAUUAAGCUAAACUAAUGUUUUCCUCAUAGAGAAUAUCAAAAGGGAUCUUAUAUGCAAAAAAACAUACAUGCACAGUUUUGUUCCAAUGAAAAUAAACUAGACGAGGCUAUGAAUGUGUGUUUUUGUUCUUGUCAUUGUUCAGAGUUCUUGAGCCUUCAUGAAAUCAUCUGAACUCAAAGUUUCCUACCUGUAGUCCGUUGAUUAUGGGGGAUUUUGUGGAUAGAAUUCAAGGUGGUAUGAGGUUGGUAAAUCUAUAAAAAUUUCAUUGACUUUUACUAAUCUCUAAUUGAAAUUCAGCAUUUUGUCAGUACUGGAGUCAGAUUUACCAUAACUGUGACUUUAUCAUGGGUGGAUUUGGAUACUUUAAUAUCUCAUUAUAGUUAUUGCUGAUACUUGAAAUGUUUUAUGUAUUGCAUAUCUUCAACAUUAUGGUAAUCACUAGAACUACUCUUAGACCUGUUUUUAAUCUAUUAAUAAUAAUACAAUAAUAAAUUAAUAAAGAAUCACAUGAAGAGACUUGGGAGAUAGCUCAGUAGGUCGAACAUGCUAACUUUUUAAGCAUGAGGACCUGAGUUCAAACCCAGGACCUACACUUAAAAAAAAGCCCACUGUGGUAGUACGUGCUUGUAAUCUUUCCACUUGGGAGGCAGAGGCAAGAUGAUCAUGAGUUCAGGGCCUCUUUGUGCUGCAUAGUGAGACUUGUCUCAAAAUAAAAUUUAAAAAAAUAAAUAAAAUCUCUUAGUGUUGUAAUAUAAUGAAAGCAGUGCCUUGUGUGAUGCAAGGCAUAGUGCUUCAUCUGGUAGUCCAGGAAAGCACCAUUUCUGCCUGUCCUGGAAAGUGCAGGUCAAACUGUGUCAGCCCACUCAGAGGGGUGAUGAGCAUAGCAAAUGGCAAGUGAUACACACAGCCUUGUGUUAAUAUCUUCUGAACACCUAGACAGUGCUGGGGAAAGGGCCAUGGGGAGAGAUCAUCUGGAAACACAUACAAAAGGCAGAUGUUUGCAUUUUACUUUUAAAUUUUCAUAUAUCUGCCAUAGUGAAUUUCACCCAUGAAAAUGACAGUGACUAGAGAUUGCUCUGCCCCUUGGGACCUUUGCUCUGCCCUCCUGAGAGCACCCACCAGAUACCUAAUACGUAUGCGUCUGCCCUCAACUGUUUUGGUUCCUUCAAUUCUCACUCUUGUGCCAUACUCUUUGCUGACACCCAACAAGAGAUCAUUGAAAAGGUUAUGCAGGGUUAUCUUUUGAGUCUUCUCUUCUAGUUCUACUUUGUGCUUUAAGGAAUUGGGAUUCACUUACAAAAAGCACAGCAAAUAAACUAGUAUUUAAUUUCUACAUCAUAUUAAUCUCAAUUUCCAGUGUUGGUUAUUUGAGCUUCCUCAAUAAUAGACAUUUAAAGGAAUGGUUUUCCUGGGAAUUGGCAUUGUUCUUCAUUUAGUCUGAUCAUGGUGGCCUUACCAUUAAGAAAGUGUGUGUUUAAGGUUUUAGUAGCAUACAACAACCACAUACACCCAAGACAUUUUCUGGGGCUUAGGAUAUGGCUCAGUCAGAAAACACACUUGUUAUGAAAGGAGGAGGGCAUGGAUUCAAAUCCUUGGCACCCACAUAGGAAGCCGUGCUCUCCUGGAACUCCAGGGUUGGGGACAGGAGGACCUGGAUCGGUUCUGACCAGCCAGGCUAGUCUAAAGGCUGGUUUCAUGUUCAGUGGGAGAACCUGUCUAAAAUAAAAAUAAUAAUAUUAGAACAGUAGAGGAAGAUACCUAACAUACCCUUUGCCCUGCAUAUAUGUGGUCUUGAACACAUUCGCUUGCACACACAUGUGCAUCACCCCCCUCCGUACAUGCAUGUGUGUGUGUGUGUGCAUGAAAAUACAUGAGAGAGAGUGAGAGAGACAGAGACAGAGACAGAGACAGAUUUUUUCAAAUCUAGAGGGGCCCACAUUCUCUUUUGGGUCAAUGAUUAUUGAGGUGAUAGAAGGUAAGGCUCCUUAAAGGGUAAAUGGACAACUCAAGCGUCUGUAACUUCGUAGUCUUGCCUUUCUAGCACAUCAACUUUUCUUUGGGGUGUUUUUUCCAAAGUUUUAUGUCCCUUUUAAAAACUAGAUGAAAUAUAUUUGACUUACUAAAGAUUUUAAAUAAAGCUCAGCAUUUAGAAGCACUUGAUGUCCUUGCAGGGGACCUGAGUUCUGUUCCCAGCAUCUGCAUAGAAGCUCACAAUCAAUUUUUUUUACCUCCAGUUUCAGGGGAUCUGAUGCUGUCUUCUGGCCUUUGUGGGCACCAGGUAAUCACAUGAUGUGCAGGCAAACACUAAUAAAUAUAAAAUAAAAGUAAAUAUUUUGAUAAUUUCUAUAUUAUAUUUGUUUUUUCUUCACCAGAUUCAAAAUUCAUUUUGCUACAGAGUGCCCCCUCCCCUCCAGCCCACUUACUAAGUGGGUCACACCAGAGAUACAUCUCUGCAGUGUUCUGCACUUAUAUGAUGAAGAUGCAGAUAUAAUAGCUUUCUUUAUUUACAAAACCAAAGAAUAUUCUAAAUCCUUCACAUAAAGCAGACUAGGGCUCACAACAACCCAUCCAUCCCAGCAGACACUCUUACCCUCUCUGUUUACAGAUGGGAGAACUCCGUCGCAUAGGCUCUCAACCUUGGUCCUCCUCAUAUUUGGGUUGUGUAAUUUGUUCUAAGAAGCAGAUGUCCCCCAUGUUUAACAGCAUUCCUGUCCUUCACUCAGUUGUGUCAACCAAAAAUGCUUGAAUUGGUCCUGGUUGAGAAUUACUAUUGUAAUUGUAAACUUGUAACAGAAGUGUACUUUCUUGAAAGACCUUCUUAGUGACAUUUAUGAUGACUCAUGGUCACAACUGGGCAAAUUACACACUGCAGACCCUGUGUCUACACCAGGCAGAAUGCACUUGUGUGGGGUGGAUAUGAGUUAAACUUAACCCAUACUAUUCUACUUUGCAGCCUUUCCUCACAUUGAUUCCAGUGCAUGCUAAAGACUACAAUUCUUGACUCUGCUUUUAACUUCUUCUAAUUGCUCUAUGUACACAUCCCCAAUUCAUGUACUGUUUCUUUUCUAUACUUCCCCUUGGACUGGAUCCAUCAUAUACACACAAACACACAAUCUUAAUUUUCUCUGUGUAAUAGAGAACUUAAUAUCUGAAUUGCUUCACAGCAAGAAUUUAUGUCCCAGCCAAGACUAGCAGCUGCCAAGAAAAGCAUACCCAGUAAUGAAUAACUCACAAAGAUUUGGUAAAGAAAAAGGAAAGUUAUAUGAUGAAGUAUAUUACUAAGAUAUUGAGUUUUGUUUAUUCAGUGUGAUAACCUGUUAAGUUCACACAAGUCAAGCGGGUUUAAGACUUUGGUCAUUGUUUCUUUGUAAUUUUAUAUUCUGUUUUCAGGAGCAGCUGGAGAUAGUAGAGGGUGAAGAGAGAAGGAGGAGUAGGGAGGGCAGGGAAUGAGAUUGAUUGACUUAAAUCCUAGCCUUGCCAAACAUGCUAACCAUAUGACCUGUCUCUCUUUUUCCCCCUAAGGCUGUGCUCCCCACCAGCUGAAUGAGGUAAUGAUGGGAAACCGAUCACACUGUUGAAGAAUUGAAAUGAGAGAUUGUGCAUUAGUAUCCAGAUCAUGUCAGUGCCUAAGUCUAGAGAGAGAAGUGAAACAGUACAAUGGGGAAAAGAAAGGUGCUCACGGAAAGGGAAAGUGUCUAGAAACCUUGAAGAUUGAUGGCUGAGAAUGGGAGGCUGACAAAGUAGGUACCUGGCUCCAGGACAAGACUGUAAGGGGCUUGUGCAAUAGAUUCUUCAUAACCUCCUAGCUGACCAAGGGAAACACACACCAUGGACUUCACAUGGCUCACUGAAUGACUGUGUGAAAUGCUCAACAUUUGUUUCUAGAAAACAAGGCUGAUGUUAGCAGUGUCCAAGUGGAAGGAGAGAUUGUGGGAAAGUAAAGCAACCAAGAGGCGUGGUAUUGGUCCUGUAACUUGGACCUGGAGAGGAGGCAAGAUGCUGGCAUAGCUGUUGAACUAGAACCUGCUAUGCCAACAUAUUGCCAUCUUUCCUGUCUGACAGCAGCUUGGCUACCUCCAUGCCAUUCUUCCAUAUUUCACUACAACCAAUAUGUGGCAUGUAGGGGUUUUGUGACUUGGUCCGCCUUAUCCCAACUUCUCUCUGAUCAUGUAUUGAGUCACUCACUCCAUUCUAGCCACAUUGGCCUUUGGGGGCUGUUCUUGGAUACACCAGGGAUGUUCCUGCCUCUUCACUCAUCUGCCUUUGUUUCAUCAUUUGAGUCUCAGUGAAGACAUCAUGUUCUUGGAAAGUCUUUCAUAGUGGCCUUGCCUAUAAAAGCUUCCAUGUGCCCAGCUACUGCUCAUCCCAUGACCCUGCUCUGUCUUCAAAAACAUUGGUCACUGCCUGAACAUGUUUGCUUGCUCAGUUGCUGGCUUAUAUCCUUUUCCAAAUUGUGUCUCCUUUAAGGAUGACGGAUCUUGACAUUUUACUCACUGUAUCCCUAGACCCUGACACUUGUAAGUCCUCAAUUCAUGGCUUUGAAACUUUACCCUGAACUUAUUGUGCAAUAAAGGUGUCAAAUAAUUACAUUUUAUCGUGUCAUGAAUGGUUCUGAUGAAACACUGGUUUAUAAGUAACAAAAAAUAAACAAGUAAUAUUGAUUUCCAGGCCUACAAACCCAGCAUCUUAAAGGAACUGUAAUAAAGGUAUCAUCAAACCUACCAACUCAGAAGACAAUAUAUUGUAUUGAAAAGACAUCAUAUUGGAAAUAAAAGUUAUUUUCCAGUCUCA